AACAAAACAGCGACCUGUUUGCGUUGGGGGACGCAGGCUCCCAGGCAGUGGCUCCCGGAACCGUCUGCAAUAGGAAGGAGCCAGCGCAGAAUGUGACUGGUGGAGAGAAGCGCGCAGGUCUCACAGGUGGAAGUACCAGGUGGACUCCCAGAAGGAUCCAUGCUUCAGUGUUCCAGAAUCUCAGGCAGAAAGCAGGAGACAUUCAAUGCAAAGCCAGUGGAUACAGCCAAAGUUAAGAGAUGUUCGAGAAGAUGUAAUGUGGGGCACAAGAGUAUCUCAAUCAGAAAUUUCUUGAAGGACUCUUCACUGUAUUGCUUGGUAAAAGAAAUGGAUUUCUGUCCCCCCCCCCACACACACACACACAUGAACACAUACUUCUUUGCAAUAUUGGACUUACACUGGUUAUUUUUAUGGAAUUCCAGCCUGGCCAUGGGCUCCCUACACAUGAAAUUUAAAGAGAUCCCAGAAUAUCCCCUACCUCCCAUCCUCGGCUGCAUCCCCAUUCCCUUCGCUCAGGAUUUAAUGCAAUUUCAGUCAUUGUACAAAACUGACAGUGUGUUGAAGAGAGAAAGAGAAAAGAGAUAGUGCAGGUGGCCUUGGGUGGAAGGGAGUGAAAGAGAAACCCUAAGGCUGUGAAGCUGAACCACCAAGGUGGCUAAUGAGUUAGAAAGAUGAAGGUAGAAAAACAUAGAAAGCGCUUCACAUAAAAAUGUUCAAGCUGUGAAUUUAGAUGGAUGUUAAGCUACAAGCAAGGCAAAAGCAUAUCAGUGUGCUUGCCAACAGGUGGCACCAGUGGGUAAACUUGUGAUGCUUAUGUGAGUUUUGGGUUUGGGGGUUUUUGCUUGCCUUCCUUCUUUCUCUCCUUCCUUCUUUCCUUCCUUCCUUCCUUCCUUCCUUCCUUCCUUCCUUCCUUCCUUCCUCCCUUCCUUCCUUACUUCCCUAUCUCCUUUCCUUCCUUUCCUUUUUCACUCCCUCCUUUCUUUCCUUCCUUUUUUCAUUCCCUCCUUUGCUCCUUCUUUCCCGCUUUCUUUCUUUCUUUCUUUCUUUCUUUCUUUCUUUCUUUUUCUCUUUCUUUUUCUCUUUCUCUCUUUUUCUCUUUAUUUCUUUUAUAGAAGAAAGAGAGAAAAUAACCAGCCUUGGGUGAACUUUUAACGAAAGGAGGUAUCCAAAAAAGUGAGAAUAGUGCCAUGGGUAUCUAUAGUUCCUUCCUGACAGAUAAGUGCUGUAGAAGUACUUGAGAGGAUGAGCAAAGCCCUUUAAUAUGGAGAGGUGUUUCCAAAAGAACAGAUUCCUGCAUCUGUAUGUUGGACCGAGAUGUCACAAAUAAGAUUUUACUCUCAUCAGCCAGGUACCAGAUGUGGGAAAGAAUACAACCACCUGGGAAAUUUUUGCAUUUCUAGGAGGCCUGCAAGUGGGGAGUCUGGAAAGGGGAUCAUAAGUGAUGACAAAGGGAAAUCGGCAUGUUUAUUUAGGCAGAACAAAACUUCAUGAGAAGUUUCCCAGAGGAGCAAAAUUCAACAGCAGUAGAGGGUGUAGCUAAAGGUGAUCAUGAACCAAAACAAAGUUUGAAGCAGCUUGCUUGCUAUCUGAUAAAAUCCUAUAAAUAGGGGCCUAGAUGAACUGAAGUUAAAAUUGUGAGAGUAUUUCACAACAGUUCUUGGAGAGGCAGAUCUUAGAACUGCUAGGGAAAUCACUACACCCAUUACAAACCCAUGGUCCCAUUCCCAGAAUUCUUAAAAACUUUUCAGCCCUUACUCAGCAUCCAAAGUGAGGCCAAAGAAUCUCAAAAGCAAUAUCUGAACCAAUGACCCAGAGUUCAUGAGCUGCCAUUAUAUGCCCAGCAUGAGCUCAGCAAUAUGGAAAGGGAGAGCAGAAAGUCUAGGUCUCUCAACUUUCAAAGCACUUAUGAUUUGAAUUUCUAGGACACCACCUCCAAGAGUUGCGAAAUGUCUAAGUAGAUGGAAAGUGAUUUACUCUCCUCAACAGAAAAGAUUCUUCCUUAGAUCAUGUAUUGCCUUGUCCACCUCUUUAACCUCCUCAAAGGAUUUGAAAAACAACUACCAUGCCCAUCUAUCUCCAAAAUAUGUGCCCUCCAAUAUAAGUUUCCCUUAGUUUGAAAAAAUUGUUGGGGUGCUUGGCUGGCUCAGUCAGUAGGGUGUGCAACUCUUGAUCUCAGGGCUGUGAGUUCAAGCGCCAUGUUGAGUGUAGAGAUUACUUAAAAAUACAGUCUUAAAAAAAGUUAUCAAAUAGUUAUAUGUUAAGAGCUCAAAUAAUGCAAGUGGAUGUAUAGCAGGUAACAGGAGCCCCUGCUCUCCUAUCUCCCACCUGCAGCCUUUCUACUCAGCCACCUUUCUAAUCCUGUCAGCUGUUCACAUCAGGGAUAGUCCCACCAAACCUGAAAUCUACUCAUGAAGAUACAUUAAACAUACCCAAACUGAAGGGGCAUCUUAUAAUUGAUCCAUGUGCUUAAAAAAUAUCAAUGUCAUGAAAGACAACGAAAGGCUGAGGAAUGUUCCAGAUUGAAGGGACAUGACAACUAAAUGUAAUACAUGAUUCUCAACUGGAUUCUGUAUGGAAAAAGGAAAUUGUGGUAACAUUAUGGACAUUAUGGAACCAAUGGACAUUAUGGAACCAAUUGGCAAAAUUGAAAUGUGACUGUGGGGUUAGAUAAGAGGCUUGCAUCCACAUUUAGAAAUCUGUAUUUUUUUUCAGAUUUAGAAUAUUGUAAUCAUACAGAGUUGUAUUAAAUAAAAUGUCAUGUUCAGAUUAGAAUACUGUAUUUAAUUCAGUAUUAGGUAUGUAUCUAAUUGAUACUGUAUUGUAUCAGAUAAAAAUGUAAGAUUCA